GAACUUAAGCAUAUCAAUAAGCGGAGGAAAAGAAACUAACAAGGAUUCCCUCAGUAACUGCGAGUGAAGUGGGAAAAGCUCAAAUUUGAAAUCUGGCAGCUCUUUCAGGUUGUCCGAGUUGUAAUCUAGAGAAGCGUUACCUGUGUUGGACCGUGUAAAAGUCUUCUGGAAUGGAGCAUCAUAGAGGGUGAGAAUCCCGUCUUUGACAUGGACUACCAGCAUGCCAAGGUGCACUCUCAAAGAGUCGAGUUGUUUGGGAAUGCAGCUCAAAAUGGGUGGUAAAUGCCAUCUAAAGCUAAAUAUUGGCGAGAGACCGAUAGCGAACAAGUACCGUGAGGGAAAGAUGAAAAGAACUUUGGAAAGAGAGUUAAACAGUACGUGAAAUUGCUGAAAGGGAAACGCUUAAAGUCAGUCGCAUUAGCUGGAAAUCAGGCUUGCUUUUGCAAGGUGCACUUUCUAGUUGAUGGGUCAGCAUCAAUUUUAAUCGUUGGAUAAAGUCAUUGGGAAUGUGGCAUCUUUGGAUGUGUUAUAGCCCAGUGUUGAAUACAGCGGUCAGGAUUGAGGAAUUCAGCAUGCCUCUAGGGGCCAGGUUUCGACCAUGUUCAUGCUUAGGAUGCUGGCAUAAUGGCUUUAAUCGACCCGUCUUGAAACACGGACCAAGGAGUCUAACAUGCCUGCGAGUGUUUGGGUGAAAAACCCAUACGCACAAUGAAAGUGAAAGUUGAGAUCCUUAGGGAGCAUUGACGCCCGGACCAGACCUUCCGUGACGGAUCCGCGGUAGAGCAUGUAUGUUGGGACCCGAAA
rnacentral:rRNA from 1 species